rnacentral:lncRNA from 1 species
GCUCCAGUCCCGCUUCAGUGAUUCCCUAUAUAAGCAACCAAUUUUUUCCCCAAAAUGGGGGGGGGGGGCUGCCCACUAUAAAUCCGCCUCUGAAUCCAUAGGCAUAUUAUACCAAAUAUACACGGAACAGAAAUUUAAUACAUUUUAUGAACGGAGAACCAGUAAUGAACGCAAAUAAACAGAAAUCCUGACACAAAAUUGUUGUGAUUUAGGAAAGAUUGUAACCCUCCUGUGGGUUUAUUGGUCAAGUAUUUCCAACAACCGCUGUCAGUAAGCAAAUACACGGAAAUAAUUCAAAACAGAAACAAAAUAUCU